rnacentral:rRNA from 1 species
UUAAGCGACUAAGCGUACACGGUGGAUGCCCUGGCAGUCAGAGGCGAUGAAGGACGUGCUAAUCUGCGAUAAGCGUCGGUAAGGUGAUAUGAACCGUUAUAACCGGCGAUUUCCGAAUGGGGAAACCCAGUGUGUUUCGACACACUAUCAUUAACUGAAUCCAUAGGUUAAUGAGGCGAACCGGGGGAACUGAAACAUCUAAGUACCCCGAGGAAAAGAAAUCAACCGAGAUUCCCCCAGUAGCGGCGAGCGAACGGGGAGCAGCCCAGAGCCUGAAUCAGUAUGUGUGUUAGUGGAAGCGUCUGGAAAGGCGCGCGAUACAGGGUGACAGCCCCGUACACAAAAAUGCACAUGCUGUGAGCUCGAUGAGUAGGGCGGGACACGUGGUAUCCUGUCUGAAUAUGGGGGGACCAUCCUCCAAGGCUAAAUACUCCUGACUGACCGAUAGUGAACCAGUACCGUGAGGGAAAGGCGAAAAGAACCCCGGCGAGGGGAGUGAAAAAGAACCUGAAACCGUGUACGUACAAGCAGUGGGAGCACGCUUAGGCGUGUGACUGCGUACCUUUUGUAUAAUGGGUCAGCGACUUAUAUUCUGUAGCAAGGUUAACCGAAUAGGGGAGCCGAAGGGAAACCGAGUCUUAACUGGGCGUUAAGUUGCAGGGUAUAGACCCGAAACCCGGUGAUCUAGCCAUGGGCAGGUUGAAGGUUGGGUAACACUAACUGGAGGACCGAACCGACUAAUGUUGAAAAAUUAGCGGAUGACUUGUGGCUGGGGGUGAAAGGCCAAUCAAACCGGGAGAUAGCUGGUUCUCCCCGAAAGCUAUUUAGGUAGCGCCUCGUGAAUUCAUCUCCGGGGGUAGAGCACUGUUUCGGCAAGGGGGUCAUCCCGACUUACCAACCCGAUGCAAACUGCGAAUACCGGAGAAUGUUAUCACGGGAGACACACGGCGGGUGCUAACGUCCGUCGUGAAGAGGGAAACAACCCAGACCGCCAGCUAAGGUCCCAAAGUCAUGGUUAAGUGGGAAACGAUGUGGGAAGGCCCAGACAGCCAGGAUGUUGGCUUAGAAGCAGCCAUCAUUUAAAGAAAGCGUAAUAGCUCACUGGUCGAGUCGGCCUGCGCGGAAGAUGUAACGGGGCUAAACCAUGCACCGAAGCUGCGGCAGCGACGCUGAUGCGUUGUUGGGUAGGGGAGCGUUCUGUAAGCCUGCGAAGGUGUGCUGUGAGGCAUGCUGGAGGUAUCAGAAGUGCGAAUGCUGACAUAAGUAACGAUAAAGCGGGUGAAAAGCCCGCUCGCCGGAAGACCAAGGGUUCCUGUCCAACGUUAAUCGGGGCAGGGUGAGUCGACCCCUAAGGCGAGGCCGAAAGGCGUAGUCGAUGGGAAACAGGUUAAUAUUCCUGUACUUGGUGUUACUGCGAAGGGGGGACGGAGAAGGCUAUGUUGGCCGGGCGACGGUUGUCCCGGUUUAAGCGUGUAGGCUGGUUUUCCAGGCAAAUCCGGAAAAUCAAGGCUGAGGCGUGAUGACGAGGCACUACGGUGCUGAAGCAACAAAUGCCCUGCUUCCAGGAAAAGCCUCUAAGCAUCAGGUAACAUCAAAUCGUACCCCAAACCGACACAGGUGGUCAGGUAGAGAAUACCAAGGCGCUUGAGAGAACUCGGGUGAAGGAACUAGGCAAAAUGGUGCCGUAACUUCGGGAGAAGGCACGCUGAUAUGUAGGUGAAGUCCCUCGCGGAUGGAGCUGAAAUCAGUCGAAGAUACCAGCUGGCUGCAACUGUUUAUUAAAAACACAGCACUGUGCAAACACGAAAGUGGACGUAUACGGUGUGACGCCUGCCCGGUGCCGGAAGGUUAAUUGAUGGGGUUAGCGCAAGCGAAGCUCUUGAUCGAAGCCCCGGUAAACGGCGGCCGUAACUAUAACGGUCCUAAGGUAGCGAAAUUCCUUGUCGGGUAAGUUCCGACCUGCACGAAUGGCGUAAUGAUGGCCAGGCUGUCUCCACCCGAGACUCAGUGAAAUUGAACUCGCUGUGAAGAUGCAGUGUACCCGCGGCAAGACGGAAAGACCCCGUGAACCUUUACUAUAGCUUGACACUGAACAUUGAGCCUUGAUGUGUAGGAUAGGUGGGAGGCUUUGAAGUGUGGACGCCAGUCUGCAUGGAGCCGACCUUGAAAUACCACCCUUUAAUGUUUGAUGUUCUAACGUUGACCCGUGAUCCGGGUUGCGGACAGUGUCUGGUGGGUAGUUUGACUGGGGCGGUCUCCUCCUAAAGAGUAACGGAGGAGCACGAAGGUUGGCUAAUCCUGGUCGGACAUCAGGAGGUUAGUGCAAUGGCAUAAGCCAGCUUGACUGCGAGCGUGACGGCGCGAGCAGGUGCGAAAGCAGGUCAUAGUGAUCCGGUGGUUCUGAAUGGAAGGGCCAUCGCUCAACGGAUAAAAGGUACUCCGGGGAUAACAGGCUGAUACCGCCCAAGAGUUCAUAUCGACGGCGGUGUUUGGCACCUCGAUGUCGGCUCAUC